GGCUCCCUAAGAGACUCCCAAAAUAUUGCUGGUUGUGGCUAGGGGUAGAAAGUAAGCCCCUAUUGCUAAAGAUGCUGUGAAUUUCAGACACAGGACCCAGAGGGCUUGGACUGGGGAUCUGACCUGAAAGGACCAAGCAUAAACUUUUCCAAGGAAGGGAAGCAAGCAGUCAAUGGUCCUACCUAGCUAUUGUUGCUUAUAAACUACAACAAUGACUAGUGUGGUGUCGUAACCUUAAAGAUGUAACAGUGGCAUGAAUGCCUUGAUGCAUAUGUUCUCUACUUGGUCUUAGCAAGAGGGAAAUCAUGACUGGUAUGGGUAACUUAGCCAACUUACAUGGGCUUAGAUAAGUCAUGGACCUUGGAGGAAAAGCUAUAACCAUCACCAAGCCAGCAUAACCCCUAGCUACGUUCUAAAUGUUUAUACUUGCCCUCACAGAUAAGCAUAUUUCUUGGUCCUUAUCAAGGAAAUGUCUCUUUGCAACAGACCAUUACAGAAAAUCACAACUGGUCAGAAUGCAGAGAAGAGAUGGUGCAGAGUCCCAGCUCCAACUGGUAGACCUAUGACAAACUCCUGCACACAUCUAAAGCCCGCUGCGUCUCAUGGAAUAGGACAUGGGAAGACUGUGAGAGCCACAGAGUCAGGGAGUUACCAUGAGACUGUGCCUCCUCGAAACUAAAUUAGAGAAGCUACACUCAUGAAGUUUCACCAGCAUGCGUGCCUAAACAACACCUAAACAAGGAUGCCAACAAUAGAAUGCUGGCAUCUUAUGGGGCCCCAACCCUAGAUGAAGAAUUGCAGGCAACUAAGGUAUGCCAUGAUUAGGAAGAACUUCCCCAGUUGUUCAUUCAAUUCAGCACUGAAAUCAUAUACAUACAGGUAACAUUAUAUGAACUGAGAAGGUAUAUUUAGGUAUGUAUACACACAUAUAUACACACAAUUAAAAAGAGGCAAUGAGUUUUGAGGAGGAAAAUACAUAAAAGGGGUUGGAUGAAGGAAACAGAAGUGGGAAAUGAUGUAAUUUCAAAAGGUAAGAUCAAAACAAAGUGCUUUGAAAUUGUUGUAGGAUAUCUGCCAGAGAAGACUCUUUUUGGACACAGGUUUUAAGCAGUAGAAAGUCUUCAUUAGCUGGCCGGCAGGAUCCCAGUGUAGCCCUCUGCCUUUCUCAGGGUAAAGUUUUAAAAAACAAAACCAUAUCCUCACUUAGCAAGAACAGCUAGCCAGAAGUGGAACUACAGAAGGCAAAAGAGCAAGGUUAGUACAUUUAGAGACUUUCCCAGAACUAUGGACUUUGAUAAAAAUGGGGUUUUAUCCUUGUCUUGGCAUGUGUUACUGCUGCCUGUGUGUUGGUUCCAUGACCUGAAGGAAGGGUACUCCCAUCACGAUGUCAGUUGUGUGAAGGUCUGAGAUCUACUGAAAAAAACAAAACAAAACAAGACUUUAUGGUGCAAACUGAGCAUGCCCAGAGACAUCCCUGUUUAUCAUUUUAAUUUUCUACAUAUCUACCAGAAGUACUCCAUGACUUUGAGCUAAGCAUGCCUCCAAAUGUUUGUCUGCUCUUUUUGAGAUUUUGACUUUUAAACUGAGCACACUCACGAAUGGGCUGAUCCCUACAUGAAUAUAUAUAUAUUGCCCCUCCACAAUAGAAUCCUAUGCUUCCUCUGUUUGGGAAAGGUCUGACUUUUAGAAUCAUGUCUUCACAUGACUUGAUACUGGCAAUGUAUUUUUCUCUGCUCUUUCACAUCUCAUCUGUGCUUAUUUUGCACUCACCAAGAUGUAAACCUAAUGUGUUGACUUUAAAAUAAUAAGGCCACAUGGUGCUUGUGACAUGAGCUUUUGCCUUUUGCCUGGAGGAGUCUGGUUUGUGAGACUUGUCGGUGUCUUCUUUUCCCCCUAUUGAGGGUGUGUGGAUGAGUGUUGGGAUUGCCGCGCCUUCAAAACUGGGUGCUUUCCUCGACGAUGCUCAUUUCUCCCAGUUACAAGAGCUCGAGGAUGUUACUGAUUCUGCCUGCCUUGACAUCUAUGCCAUUAUCUGAAGUUCUUCUCCCUCCUCAUCCCCCCAAGGCUUCGGUAAAGCACCAAAGUCCUCUUCUUGCCUUACUUUAACCGGAAUCACUGUGCAUGGGACACCAUUACUGGAAAUGUUUUGGAAAUGAAAGUGACGAACAGUAUAAGCACUGCAUAAAGCAGCUAAUGAAAUGGAAUAAUCUUUUCAUUUGGAAGCUGAGCCAGGGGCAUAGAAUAUUGCUAAGAAUUAAGGCUCCCUCUGGACUGUCCAUCUACCCGAUACAUUGCUGAGAUAUUGAAGUUCUCAGCUCUCACAAGGCAGGGAGGAGUGAGCAGCCCAUGUUGUGAGGAUGUGAGGCAGUUAAUAAUUGAGGUGUGCUCUGUUCCGUGUUCUACAGGUGUUCACUGGCCUCUGGGCACAGUGUGGGGGCCUGCUGGGCUAUCCAGAUGGACAGUGCAUUCACUAGAUUUAAGGCUACUGGAGUUGGAAGGAAAUGAGCCUCUAUUCAAGAGCCCUGUCACGACGGGUGUCCGCUUCACUCAGGCACCUGCAUCCUGGCAUAUGCUAGCCUCUAUUUAUUGAGCUUCUACUGUGUUUCAGGCAAUGCAGGAAGAACUUUACAUGGGUUAGAGAGAAACUCAUUUCGCACAGUAAGCUGACCCAGGGACUGUGAAGAUAGACUCCCUAGGAACUCUCAGAAGACUGCCUUUGUUGGGGAAAGCAGCCCAUGACACCAGCUCUGCCAUCUUCUUCUCACAGGAGAUCAGGCAGUAUGUCCCAGUGUUGUGCUGGAAGUUGUGUAGUGACCACUAUUGCAGACACCAUCGAGUCCUGGUGCUCUCUGGAUUCGUGACAUAGAAGUCAGCUUGAAGUCAGGAGAAAACAUUUGAGGCUACUUUACAUAGUAGAUUUUUUUGGUCAAAAAGUUCUGAAAUUAAAAGUAACAUUUUGUCUAAGAA